rnacentral:rRNA from 1 species
AGUGAACGCUGGCGGUAGGCCUACACAUGCAAGUCGAACGGCAGCACAGUAAGAGCUUGCUCUUACGGGUGGCGAGUGGCGGACGGGUGAGGAAUACAUCGGAAUCUACUUUUUCGGGGGGGGUAACGGAGGGAAACUUACGCUAAUACCGCCUACGACCUACGGGUGAAAGCAGGGGAACCUCGGACCUUGCGCGAAUGAAUGAGCCGAUGUCGGAUUAGCUAGUUGGCGGGGUAAAGGCCCACCAAGGCGACGAUCCGUAGCUGGUCUGAGAGGAUGAUCAGCCACACUGGAACUGAGACACGGUCCAGACUCCUACGGGAGGCAGCAGUGGGGAAUAUUGGACAAUGGGCGCAAGCCUGAUCCAGCCAUACCGCGUGGGUGAAGAAGGCCUUCGGGUUGUAAAGCCCUUUUGUUGGGAAAGAAAAGCAGCAGGUUAAUACCCCGCUGUUCUGACGGUACCCAAAGAAUAAGCACCGGCUAACUUCGUG